rnacentral:rRNA from 1 species
GAUUGAACGCUGGCGGCAGGCUUAACACAUGCAAGUCGAGCGGUAACAGGGGAGCUUGCUCCUGCUGACGAGCGGCGGACGGGUGAGUAACGCGUAGGAAUCUGCCUAGUAGAGGGGGACAACAUGUGGAAACGCAUGCUAAUACCGCAUACGCCCUGAGGGGGAAAGGAGGGGAUCACUUGUGACCUUUCGCUAUUAGAUGAGCCUGCGUGAGAUUAGCUAGUUGGUAGGGUAAAGGCCUACCAAGGCGACGAUCUCUAACUGGUCUGAGAGGAUGACCAGUCACACUGGGACUGAGACACGGCCCAGACUCCUACGGGAGGCAGCAGUGGGGAAUAUUGGACAAUGGGCGCAAGCCUGAUCCAGCCAUGCCGCGUGUGUGAAGAAGGCCUUAGGGUUGUAAAGCACUUUCAGGGGUGAGGAAGGGUAACUAGCUAAUACCUAGUUAUUUUGACGUAGCCCCAGAAGAAG